UAUUUUUAGAAGAAAUGUUUUUGGUCACUAUAUUGUAUUAAUAUUGCUUUCUCAUGAAUUAUUAUUCCCCAUGACCAAUCUGCUCUUUAUUCUAAAUCCAGUCCUGAAACCAAAUUAAACACGGUUAAAAAAAAAAAAAUUAGGGGUAGAAAAAGAAAAAUGAACAAACUGAAUAUAGUUCUUCUAAUUCCAGGAGUAUCUCUUUUGUAUUAUCUUUACCAUAUAAGGCAAGUUAUGACAUAAAAUGUCUUAUAAAUUCUCAAUGGCUAAAGGGGAUUCUAGACUAUUGAAGUUACUUUUCUUUCACCACACUAGUGUUGUUAUAAUUAUCCUACAUUGUAUUCUUCAGUGAACCUCUGGACAAAAUUGAAUCAGUUUCAAUCCAGGCAGGUUGGGCCUGGGGAUAUCUGCAGCAUCUACAAGAAGAGGAGAAGAAGCCUUCAAACAACUAUAACAGUGAGACUUGUACUAAAACAAUUUUGUAGACAAAAUUGAGGGAUUUCAAAGAUUAAUGGCAAAAUCAACAAAAGUAGAGAAAAAUUCAGCCUACAAGAGGUUCCAGAGAGUUCCCUAGCUUCUUCCAGCAUGUGAGGAUACAAUCGGAAGUCUGAGACAUGGAAGACGGUCCUCACCAACCCUGCUGGCACUCUGAGCUCAGACUUCCAUCCUCCAGAACUACAGCAUGCAAGUGGGGGAGAGUGGCAG